GGUCCCGUGGCUCAGCUGGUUAGAGCGCUGGUCUUAUAAGCCAGAGGUCGCGAGUCCGACUCUCGCCGGGACCA
rnacentral:tRNA from 1 species